rnacentral:rRNA from 1 species
UACGUAGGGUGCAAGCGUUGUCCGGAAUUAUUGGGCGUAAAGAGCUCGUAGGCGGUUUGUUGCGUCGGCUGUGAAAUCCCGAGGCUCAACCUCGGGUCUGCAGUCGAUACGAGCAAACUAGAGUGUUGCAGGGGAGACUGGAAUUCCUGGUGUAGCGGUGAAAUGCGCAGAUAUCAGGAGGAACACCGGUGGCGAAGGCAGUGUUCUGGGCCAGUACUGACGCUGAGGAGCGAAAGCGUGGGUAGCAAACAGG